UACGUAGGUGGCAAGCGUUGUCCGGAAUUAUUGGGCGUAAAGCGCGCGCAGGCGGCUUAUUAAGUCUGAUGUGAAAUCUCGGGGCUCAACCCCGAGCGGCCAUUGGAAACUGGGAAGCUUGAGUGCAGAAGAGGAGAGUGGAAUUCCACGUGUAGCGGUGAAAUGCGUAGAUAUGUGGAGGAACACCAGUGGCGAAGGCGACUCUCUGGUCUGUAACUGACGCUGAGGCGCGAAAGCGUGGGGAGCAAACAGG
rnacentral:rRNA from 1 species